AUGAAUUUGUUCAAAAACCAAACGUUGCACCCACACCUGCGCGACGAAGAAGCUCUCGUGGUGGAAAACGCCAUUCGCUUGGCGAUAGACUCGAUAAUUAACGUGCUGUACGGCGUCAACAGCUCCAGGACUCGCGAGUACCAGCGGAUGGUGGCCGACAAGGACAAAGAGAUCCGUCGGCUGGAGAGCAGUCUCUCGGAGAUGGAGUGCGAGGUAAAGGUGCUCCGCCGACGGGGAUUCACCUGCGGACUGCUCGGAGGGGAGCGCAGCCCGGUUGGCUCUCGGACCCCCGAUGACCCGCAGACGAUCGAGGGGAGCGGGUUUGAACUGAGCUGCAUCGACACGGAGAUGACAGCCGAGCAGCAGGAUUAUGAAAUGAGUAUCAAUGUAGGCCAUUUUGCAAACCCCCCCUCACAAGUCUCCCCCCAAAGCCAGCUGUCGGCUCCGCCGUCAUCUCGUGCCAGAACAGACCGGUCCUGCAUCUCCCUCUCCUCCAAUUCCUCCGAUGUGUCGGAGGCAGCUGGCAAUCUGCCGAUGUCUCCCAGCAGCUUUGUCAUCAAAGAAGAGCCGUGUGACAUCGCUCCGGUUUUGAUCAAGUUGGAAAUGAGUGAAGAGAGUUUUGGGGAGCUUCAUGAGAGCGCUGGCCAUCCGUAUCAGGACCACCAGAGCCCCAGCGUAAACGAACACCUAGAGAAAGAGAUGGAGAGAAGAACUUUAAAUGAGGACCGCCAUGCAGAUCCAGGCGGUUAUUACGACCCCCAUGACGAACACCUCAGGAACAAGAAGAAGGGCGUGCCCAUGUCUGAGCUGACGGAGGAGGCUCAGAGACAGAAGAGGGCAGCCUGGAGAGCGGCCUCAAGGCGCUAUUAUGCCCGGAAGGUCGCCCGCCAGCAGGCGCACCCGUCGCGCUCAGGCCCCGCCCCAUCGCGGCCGGGCCCCUUCCUCGCGCCCUCGGGCCCCGCCCCGUCCCACUUGGGCCCGUUCUUCCCGCGCUCGGGCCCCGUCUCGCACGUCACAGACUCCAGGUACCCUCAUCCCAUCUCUUUCGCGGACAAGAGGAGGAGGACGCUGAUAUCGGAUUUACCGGAGGCGUCUCAGUCCCUGCAGCGGGAGGCGUGGAGAGCGGCGUCCAAGCGGUACUACGCUCGGAAGAACGCUCGCCACCACGCGGAGCCCGUGCACUACGCGCACCUGCUCCAGGACACGGAGGCGCCUAGAGACCCACCGGAACCUAACCGGGCGGGACCCCACGGCAACAGCGGGGGAAUAAUGUGCAGCUGAUGGACGGCGGCGCUGUAGUUGCACAGCAUAAGGACAUUCACAGGGAACACAGGGCGGUUUAUGCAUUUGUUGUGUUGAAGUUGAGAUUUCCCAUCUUCCGAUACGGUCCCCAAAUUUUGAACCUAUAUUGACGAUGAUUGAAAUAUAAAAACCAACACUGAGCAAAACUCCACACUUUCUACUUUUUCAUAGAUGUGUUCUUUUUCUUCAUUGGGCCUUUCAUGUGCUGCGUUGCAUGUCUGUAGGAACGCGACUGCAGAUCUGAUCCAAGGACAUAAAGUUCAUUAGUUCUAAUGUGACAGCCGCUGGAUCGAUACAGGCUGUACCUGAAACUACAGCCUCUGUAAUGGAGUUCAUCUGAAUGCAGAGGACAGGGCAACACUGUUCUAUUGGAUGAUGAUACAAAUGUCACAUUGUAUUGCUCUGUAAUCAGAACGUUUUUGACGGGUUAUUUUAUGAUUUAUUACUUUUUUCAGUGUACGUGAAGGACUUUUUCAUUAUUAAUUUAUGACUGAGUUUUUGAAAUGUAUAUGUUUUUCCAACAUACUAUCACUUAUUUGCUUCAUACUGUACUGCGACAUACUAUACUAUGACUUUUUAUUCUUUAUUUCGACAUACUAUUGACAUAGUGUAGUACACUAUAACUUUGACAGACUUAAAUAAGAUUUGUUCGUCACUUUGCUGGACUAUACUAUUCAUACUUUCGACACAUGACUUUUUGGUGACGUGAUAUUUUGCAUCUCAGCUAAUUUUAUAUUAGCUAUAACGAUUAUUACUUUGUCAUCACUUUGUUCAACAGGCCUUGCUGUGAUUACAUAAUAUAUAGAAACAUUUUCAUAAAUAAAUUCUAUACUAUGACAUUGCUUAUUGUCUGAAUUUUUAGAGAAAUAUAUUGAAAUACAUUAGAAAUAAUUUAAUUUUUAUGACUUUUAAUAAAAGACUAAACUAUGUUUUUUCCUAAACAAUAAUUUUUUACGACAUAAUGUAUUGUUUAUCAUUUGUUUUAACAUAUACUUUAGCCACAAUAUGUUGUUAUUAAUUAAUAACUUUCUUUAACUUAUUUGAUACACUAACAUGGCUUUUUUUUCACAUCUAAGCCUUGCCGUCCCAGCCGUGGACAUGAGUUCUGCCUCUGAAAAGACAUUUCUACCUGCCUUCUGCUAUAUGUUCAUUUUCUGACAUCACAUUAUGAUACAAUUCACUGCAUUGACAAACUGUCUUUGGCCACAUGUGAUUCAGCCCUGAAUAAAAACAUGAUUUGCACUCGGUGAACACUUACUCCUCAGUCCUUCCUGACCUCUGGAUUUCCUCAGAUACUAGAAGAAGGGCGGGCCGUCGUCCGAACAGACAAAAGGGGCUCAGAGAAGGAAGAGGGCGGCCCGGAUGGCUGCUUCCAGGCGCUAGGAAGUCAUUUCUUUGUUCUCCAUUGUUCAAUUAUCCCUGUGAAAAACACUGCAUUCAUCUCACUUUGGACAGGAUUUCUCAAAGUUCUAUCUUGUUUUUCCUUUAAACUUUUCCUAGUGCAUGCUAUAGAAAACACCUAGAUGGAGAUUGAGUAUAAUACUUGGGGAAAUAUUAAGCUAUGCCACAGUACUAUUCUCAUAAAACAGCAACUAUACGGCCCCUGUUGAGUCAAACAUCCAUCCCUAUAAUUAAGAUGGUGGUUAAAUUACGGGAACAACAUCUACUUGUGACAAAUGAAGAAUUAACAUGACAUAAAAAGAAAAACAAGAUUUCCAUUUGUUUUAUUUGUUUUAUUUUAAAUUCUUUACACGUUGAAUUAAAAUCCGACAAAAAAUGAGGUAUUCUUUUAGUAAAUUGUGAAAUGCAGUGUUUUAUCCCUGUAAAUAGGCGUACAGUAAGAAAAACAGAUGAUUUAAAGCACAGAAAAUGAUUAAUGUUCAAACAGAGAGCUCCUCUGCCCCCCUGCUCCCCAACAACAAAAACAAGUCUUGCAACAGAAGCCGUUCGUCGUCCAUCAGCCUAAAUGUGACGCGUUUUGACCGCCGACCUUGCACAAGAGCAGGUGUUGCAGCGCAGUUGUUGCAGCGCAGGUGUUGCAGCGCAGUUGGUGUUUGCGUCGCUCCGCGGCUGCGGUCUGAAAGGCGACGCGUGCGACAGCUGCCGCUGCUGCUGCGCAUCGAGGACGCGCGUCCGGCUCCAGCUCCGGCUGCUGAAUAGAGGGACACGUCAUGCGCCCGCUUUCACCAACUGUGCUGUCUGAGCAGAUGACUAAAGAUUUCUAACGGACAGUCGUGUUUUUAGUGUAUUUUCAUCCUCUCGCCUUGGAGAGGACGGUUCCCCUCUCGAGCUGCUCUUGAGGCUCGGGGUCCUGGGGGGAUAUGAGGGGAUACGGGUUCUUUAACCUGCUGCAGACGUCAGAUCCGGACACGCAGGGAGGCAGAAGCCCUUUAUAUCGGCGGCUAUCUGCUGUUGUGGUAUACGACGUAAAUAGAGCAGACAUUAGACCUGGACGGGGCUGUUCUUCAACGUUGCUUGCAGCUGCCAACUGAAUUUGCAUCGAG
ensembl:lncRNA